CAAAGUAUCUUCAUUUGUCUUCUUGCUGAUCCUCAGGACAAAUCUAUGUUGAUGAAUUAGUAAGGGAUUCAGUAACACGGAUUUGUCAUGAGGGUAAAUGAGAAAAUCUACAUAGAAGCCC
ensembl:miRNA